rnacentral:rRNA from 1 species
UUCCCCUAGUAACUGCGAGUGAAGCGGGAAAAGCUCAAAUUUAAAAUCUGGCGGUCUUUUGGCUGUCCGAGUUGUAAUCUAGAGAAGUGUUAUCCGCGCUGGACCGUGUACAAGUCUCCUGGAAUGGAGCGUCAUAGAGGGUGAGAAUCCCGUCUUUGACAUGGACUACCAGGGCUUUGUGAUGCGCUCUCAAAGAGUCGAGUUGUUUGGGAAUGCAGCUCAAAAUGGGUGGUAAAUUCCAUCUAAAGCUAAAUAUUGGCGAGAGACCGAUAGCGAACAAGUACCGUGAGGGAAAGAUGAAAAGAACUUUGGAAAGAGAGUUAAACAGUACGUGAAAUUGCUGAAAGGGAAACGCUUGAAGUCAGUCGCGUCAUCCAGGGAUCAACCUUGCUUUUGCUUGGUGCACUUUCUGGUUUGAUGGGUCAGCAUCAAUUUUGACCAUUGGAAAAAGGCCAAGGGAAUGUGGCAUCUUCGGAUGUGUUAUAGCCUUUGGUCACAUACAAUGGUUGGGAUUGAGGAACUCAGCACGCCGCAAGGCCGGGUUUUAAACCACGUUCGUGCUUAGGAUGCUGGCAAUAUGGCUUUAAUCGACCCGUCUUGAAACACGGACCAAGGAGUCUAACAUGCCUGCGAGUGUUUGGGUGGAAAACCCGAGCGCGUAAUGAAAGUGAAAGGUUGAGAUCCCUGUCGUGGGGAGCAUCGACGCCCGGACCAGACCUUUUGUGACGGUUCCGCGGUAGAGCAUGUAUGUUGGGACCCGAAAGAUGGUGAACUAUGCCUGAAUAGGGUGAAUCCAGAGGAAACUCUGGUGGAGGCUCGUAGCGAUUCUGACGUGCAAAUCGAUCGUCAAAUUUGGGUAUAGGGGCGAAAGACU